UCCUACGGGGGGGGAGCAGUAGGGAAUCUUCCACAAUGGACGAAAGUCUGAUGGAGCAACGCCGCGUGAACGAUGAAGGCCUUCGGGUCGUAAAGUUCUGUUGUAAGGGAAGAACAAGUGCCGCAGGCAAUGGCGGCACCUUGACGGUACCUUGCGAGAAAGCCACGGCUAACUACGUGCCAGCAGCCGCGGUAAUACGUAGGUGGCAAGCGUUGUCCGGAAUUAUUGGGCGUAAAGCGCGCGCAGGCGGCCUCUUAAGUCUGAUGUGAAAGCCCCCGGCUCAACCGGGGAGGGCCAUUGGAAACUGGGAGGCUUGAGUAUAGGAGAGAAGAGUGGAAUUCCACGUGUAGCGGUGAACUACUAAGAUGUGGAGGAACACCAGUGGCGAAGGCGACUCUUGGCCUAUAACUGACGCUUAGGCGAAAAGGUUUC
rnacentral:rRNA from 1 species